rnacentral:rRNA from 1 species
CUCAGAACGAACGCUGGCGGCAGGCCUAACACAUGCAAGUCGAGCGCGCCCUUCGGGGUGAGCGGCGGACGGGUUAGUAACGCGUGGGAACGUACCCUUUGGUAGGGAAUAGCCACUGGAAACGGUGAGUAAUACCCUAUGAGCCCUUCGGGGGAAAGAUUUAUCGCCAAAGGAUCGGCCCGCGUUAGAUUAGGUAGUUGGUGGGGUAAUGGCCUACCAGGCCUACGAUCUAUAGCUGGUUUUAGAGGAUGAUCAGCAACACUGGGACUGAGACACGGCCCAGACUCCUACGGGAGGCAGCAGUGGGGAAUCUUGGACAAUGGGGGCAACCCUGAAUCCAGCCAUGCCGCGUGAGUGAAGAAGGCCUUAGGGUCGUAAAGCUCUUUCGCCUGUGAAGAUAAUGACGGUAGCAGGUAAAGAAACCCCGGCUAACUCCGUGCCAGCAGCCGC